rnacentral:rRNA from 1 species
UUGGUCAUUUAGAGGAAGUAAAAGUCGUAACAAGGUUUCCGUAGGUGAACCUGCGGAAGGAUCAUUAGUGAAUGCCCUCACGGGCUUAACUAUCCAACCAACCUCUGUGAACUGUCGCCCUCGGGCGCUUCUAUAACAAACUAUAACUGUCAUGAACGUCGUAUACAAAAACAAACACAACUUUCAACAACGGAUCUCUUGGCUCUCGCAUCGAUGAAGAACGCAGCGAAAUGCGAUAAGUAAUGUGAAUUGCAGAAUUCAGUGAAUCAUCGAAUCUUUGAACGCACCUUGCGCCCUCUGGUAUUCCGGAGGGCAUGCCUGUUUGAGUGUCAUGUAGACUCAACCCCCCUGGUUUAUGAUCGGGAAGGGUUGGAUGUGGGCGCUGCCAAUUGCUGGCUCGCCUUAAAUGUCUUAGCGGCUCAGAAGCCCCGACCUAGCGUAAUAAGUUUCGCUGGAGAGGGUGUGGAUGACUGCUUACAAUCGCCCUCGGGCAAUCUUUUGACUCUGGCCUCAAAUCAGGUAGGACUACCCGCUGAACUUAAGCAUAUCAAUAAG